GACGAACGCUGGCGGCGUGCUUAACACAUGCAAGUCGAACGGAAAGGCCCUGCUUUUGUGGGGUGCUCGAGUGGCGAACGGGUGAGUAACCCGUGAGUCACCUUCCCUUUACUUUGGGAUAACUUCAGGAAACUGGGGCUACUACCGGCUUGGUGCUCCUGCUGCAUGGUGGGGGUCGGAAAGUUUCGGCGGUUGGGGAUGGACUCGCGGCUUAUCAGCUUGUUGGUGGGGUAGUGGCUUACCCAGGCUUUGACGGGUAGCCGGCCUGAGAGGGUGACCGGCCACAUUGGGACUGAGAUACGGCCCAGACUCCUACGGGAGGCAGCAGUGGGGAAUAUUGCACAAUGGGCGGAAGCCUGAUGCAGCAACGCCGCGUGCGGGAUGACGGCCUUCGGGGUGUAAACCGCUUUCGCCUGUGACGAAGCGUGAGUGACGGUAAUGGGUAAAGAAGCACCGGCUAACUACGUG
rnacentral:rRNA from 1 species